rnacentral:rRNA from 1 species
CCUACGGGAGGCAGCAGUGGGGAAUAUUGCACAAUGGGGGAAACCCUGAUGCAGCGACGCCGCGUGAGUGAAGAAGUCAUUCGUGAUGUAAAGCUCUAUCAGCAGGGAAGAAAAUGACGGUACCUGAGUAAGAAGCCCCUGCUAACUCCGUGCCAGCAGCCGCGGUAAUACGUAGGGGGCACGCGUUAUCCGGAUUUACUGGGUGUAAAGGGAGCGUAGACGGCAGUGCAAGUCUGGUGUGAAAGGCCGGGGCUCAACCCCGGGACUGCACUGGAAACUGUACGGCUGGAGUGCAGGAGAGGUAAGUGGAAUUCCUAGUGUAGCGGUGAAAUGCGUAGAUAUUAGGAGGAACACCAGUGGCGAAGGCGGCUUACUGGACUGUAACUGACGUUGAGGCGCGAAAGCGUGGGGAGCAAACAGGAUUAGAUACCCGAGUAGUC